CCUACGGGUGGCAGCAGUAGGGAAUAUUGCUCAAUGGGGGCAACCCUGAAGCAGCAACGCCGCGUGGAGGAUGAAGGCUUUCGGGUUGUAAACUCCUUUUGUUAGAGAAGAUAAUGACGGUAUCUAACGACUAACCACCGGCUAACUCCGUGACAGCAGCCGCGGUAAUACGGAGGGCGCACGCGUUACUCGGAAUCACUGGGCGUAAAGAGCGCGUAGGCGGGAUCGCAAGUCACAUGUGAAAUCCUAUGGCUCAACCAUAGAACUGCAUUUGAAACUGUCGUUCGUGAGUAUCGGAGAGGUAGGUGGAAUUCGUGGUGUAGGGGUAAAAUCCGUAGAGAUCAAGAGGAAUACUGAUUGCGAAGGCGACCUGCUGGAACAAGACUGACGCUGAUGCGCGAAAGCGUGGGGAGCAAACAGGAUUAGAUACCCGGGUAGUC
rnacentral:rRNA from 1 species